AUGGUUCUAAGGGAUGACAAGGGCAAUAUCAUAUUUUCAUCUUGCCGGGAAGCUCUUGAACCAAAAUUGUGUGCGUCCAUGGGAGGGCUCUCUUUUGUUUUACAAAAUAGUGAUUUUUCUAUUAUUAUUGAGAUGGAUUCCAUAGUUACUUUCAAGUUGAUUCAAGCCCGGGAUGUGGCUAGAACAGUCUAUGCUCCGCUCAUCAAGGAAAUUAGAUACCUUUUUUGUCUUCAGGAUACUUGUAUUACUCAUGUUAACGGUGUUCAGAAUAAUGUUAAGAGUGGUAGUUUAGCUAGGUUUGCUAGAACUGAGGGCAGAACUAUGACUUGGUUAGGGUCUGGCCGGACGUUGCUUUAUCUCUAG
rnacentral:rRNA from 1 species